GACGAACGCUGGCGGCGUGCUUAACACAUGCAAGUCGAACGGAAAGGCCCUGCUUUUGUGGGGUGCUCGAGUGGCGAACGGGUGAGUAACACGUGAGUAACCUGCCCUUGACUUUGGGAUAACUUCAGGAAACUGGGGCUAAUACCGGAUAGGAGCUCCUGCUGCAUGGUGGGGGUUGGAAAGUUUCGGCGGUUGGGGAUGGACUCGCGGCUUAUCAGCUUGUUGGUGGGGUAGUGGCUUACCAAGGCUUUGACGGGUAGCCGGCCUGAGAGGGUGACCGGCCACAUUGGGCCUGAGAUACGGCCCAGACUCCUACGGGAGGCAGCAGUGGAGAAUAUUGCACAAUGGGCGGAAGCCUGAUGCAGCAACGCCGCGUGCGGGAUGACGGCCUUCGGGUGGUAAACCGCUUUCGCCUGUGACGAAGCGUGAGUGACGGUAAUGGGUAAAGAAGCACCGGCUAACUACGUG
rnacentral:rRNA from 1 species